rnacentral:rRNA from 1 species
AGGGUUCGAUCAUGGCUCAGGAUGAACGCUGGCGGCGUGCCUAAUACAUGCAAGUCGUACGAUGGAGAUCCAGCUUGCUGGAUUGAAGUAGUGGCGAACGGGUGAGUAAUACAUAAGCAACCUGCCUAUAACGUCUGGGAUAACAUAUGGAAACGUAUGCUAAUACCGGAUAGGUCAUUUUCCGGCAUCGGGAAAUGAUUAAAGGUUUGAAACGCGAAUAGAUGGGCUUAUGUUGCAUUAGCUUGUUGGUGAGGUAACGGCUCACCAAGGCGAUGAUGCAUAGCCGGCCUAAGAGGGUGAACGGCCACAUUGGAACUGAGACACGGUCCAA